GNUGAGUAAUGUAUAGGAAUCUACCUAGUAGUACGGAAUAAUUGUUGGAAACGGCAACUAAUACCGUAUACGCCCUACGGGGGAAAAAUUUAUUGCUAUUAGAUGAGCCUAUAUUAGAUUAGUUAGUUGGUGAGGUAAAGGCUUACCAAGACAAUGAUCUAUAGCUGAUCUGAGAGGAUGAUCAGCCACACUGGAACUGAGAUACGGUCCAGACUCCUACGGGAGGCAGCAGUGGGGAAUAUUGGACAAUGGGCGAAAGCCUGAUCCAGCCAUGCCGCAUGAGUGAAGAAGGCCUUCGGGUUGUAAAGCUCUUUUAGUGAGGAAGAUAAUGACGGUACUCACAGAAGAAGUCCUGGCUAACUCCGUGCCAGCAGCCGCGGUAAUACGGAGAGGGCUAGCGUUAUUCGGAAUCAUUGGGCGUAAAGGGCGCGUAGGCGGGUUAGUAAGUUAAAAGUGAAAUCCCAAGGCUCAACCUUGGAACUGCUUUUAAAACUGCUAGUCUAGAGAUUGAAAGAGGAUAGAGGAAUUCCUAGUGUAGAGAUGAAAUUCGUAAAUAUUANGAGGAACACCAGUGGCGAAGGCGUCUAUCUGGUUCAAAUCUGACGCUGANGCGCGA
rnacentral:rRNA from 2 species